rnacentral:rRNA from 1 species
CUGGCGCGUGCUUAAUACAUGCAAGUCGAACGAAGCGCAGAUGGCAAAUCCCCUCGGGGAGGCGCGCCUGUGACUUAGUGGCGGACGGGUGAGUAACGCGUGGGCAAUCUGCCCUGCACAGGGGGACAACAGUUGGAAACGACUGCUAAUACCGCAUAAGCGCACAUGACCGCAUGGUCGAGUGUGAAAAAGGAGCAAUCCGGUGCAGGAUGAGCCCGCGUCCGAUUAGCCAGUUGCGGGUCACGGCCCACCAAAGCAACGANCGGUAGCCGACUUGAGAGAGUGAUCGGCCACAUUGGGACUGAGACACGGCCCAGACUCCUACGGGAGGCAGCAGUAGGGAAUAUUGCACAAUGGGGGAAACCCUGAUGCAGCGACGCCGCGUGGGUGAUGAAGCAUUUCGGUGCGUAAAGCCCUAUCAGCAGGGAAGAUGAUGACGGUACCUGCAUAAGAAGCCCCGGCUAACUACGUGCC